ACAGGUGAAGGCAGUGCAGCUGUGUGACCAGAAGGAGUGGAGCCUGGCUGCACCUCUCUUAGACCUCAUUUAAGGACUGGCUGCCAACAGGGAAAGAUCUGUUCCCGGAGUUCUCUCCUUGAUGGAGCUUUCCCUUGUGAACAUGGAAUUUUCUGAUAUGGAUGCAGCUCAUACGUCUGGCACCUGGAAGGAGUGUUAUUUAUCUCACAGAUCAAUUGCCUUAGCACCAUGCCACCUGUGCCACACCUCUCUCCAGUCCACAGAAGUCCUUGGAAACUGCUCAAGAUUGGAUGCAUCUGUGAUGCAGAUGGAAGAGGUUGCAUGUGGCACGAAGCAUGCUCUGCACUAGGUGGUGCUCAUGGAAACUACAGUCUCCUUCAUACUCCAGAAAAUUUACACUCAUUGUCUUAAAAAUAAGAGAAGUACAAAGACAUUUUGGGACAUGCAGGAUGGAGAUUUCUUAGAUUGUGAAGGGACUCUUUUGAGGAAGGGAUUCUCAAACAUGAGGCACAUUCUGUUGAAAGUGACUUAUUUUGACAUUCAUGUAAUCUUUUAGCACAAAUACACCUGUUUCUAAAAGUCUGAAACCCCUUGCAGCAAGGUCCUGUACCUCAGCCAGAAUUUCUGGUUUCCCAGUAAAAAUCUCUCAACCGUCACAACCACUCAGAACGUCAGACUUGCUAUGUCUUACCUAAAGAAAAUUGAAAGAAUUUUCAAAAACAGGUAUUUCUUCGCGAGCGCCAUUGUAAGUUUACAUGUUAGAAUCCAUGAUUUUUUCAAGUCUGAAUACAGCAUCGUCUUUUAAGAACUUUGUUCAUCAUGUGCAAAUGUGAUUGCAUCCAGCUAGUCUUUUAAGUACAUAGUGAGACUUGUAAAUAAAAACACUACUAUUCAGCUAUGUGCUAAGCACUCUUCUCUUCCACUGCAAUCAGUGCAAGCUUAAACAAUUAUUAAUAGUGAAGACAGUUUCUUUAAUUUAGGUACCUCAUAUAGUUUCCUACAAAUAUCAGCAUCCAGGUUUUAAAACUGGCUGUAACCACCUGGGUCCCCAGAGGUGACCCUUGAAAUCUUUAAUGAUGAGGAAGUGGCUCAAGUUAUCUUGAUGCUUCCCAGAUAAUGUGUAGACAAAGAAUGUCUGCAUUAUUCCUUUUCAGUCUGAAGUCCACAGAUCUACUACUAGAGAGGGAGCCUGGGAAACAAUGACCUCCUUGUCAGAGAUGCUGGUUUCAGUUGGGAACAGUCACUUGGCCUGUUUAGUUAAUAAGCCCCAGAAGCCUCCUGAAUUAGAAAGAGCAAAUGAUAUUAGUUUAGAAGGUCAGAGGGUUAACAAUGAAGCAGCAGUUGUACUCAAGGUUGUUUUCUAAGCAAAGUUUAGCAGUACAAAACAAAGAUGGGAGGGAAGGAUGGGUACAAGUUAGAACACUUAUGCUUACAUCUUACUGGACUUUGUCUUCUGACAUAAACAGAUGUAUCUUCACUGGAACAGUUCCUUAUACUGGUACGAUUAGCUCCAAACCCUUAGACUUAUGACUGUUUUGAGGUAGGCUGAUGGAAAACCUUUGAUAACACAUUUGGAAUUCUAAAUUGAAUUAACAGAUGAGAUUCCUGUUUCCUGGUUCUAAUUUAUGUGGAAUGCUAAUUUUUUUUUUUUUGUCUGCCAGAUGUAGUAAAAAGCUUUUGAAUUUAACAUAUACACAAAGGUCAGAGCAGCAGAGUAAAAUCUGGGAUUGUGCAAAUGUUAGGGCCCCUAUAGCUUCAGGACAUGGCCCUGUUGGGAGUUCAGACCAGACCUAAAUGGAAAUAUGCUCCUUUGAAUUCACUCAUUCUUCUUCUGGACAUUCAGAUAAAGACUAACAUGGUCCUCUAUCCCUAGAGACAAAGAUCCUUUAAGAGACUCCAAUAUCUAAGAUAAUCCAUGCACCAGUUUGGUCCAUCUGCCUGACUAAAUCUUAAUAGACCUGAGUCAUCUUUAGAGAGGAACUGACAGAGUUUGAUUGCUUUCAUAUUGACAGCUACAGCUUUACUAAUACCUUUUGUUAAGGAAAAGAGAACUACAGAGCUUCUGAAAGCCUCUGUGAACAUCACUGAUUUCUAAUGCAAUGAUAACUUCUUUAUGAGAGAACAACAACUUCUCAGCAUCAGUGAUGAUGGGGAGUAUUUGCAGUCUAACGACCAAACUUCAACAAUGUCACAAGCUGAAAUACAUCAAGGCUACAUAACAUGUAGAGCACUGCUCUCACUUCCCUAUCCUCGCUCAGUUAUUUCUUGUGGCCACAUACAGAAAGUACCUCAACAUAGCUCAACAGGGAGGCAGGGUUUUCAGAGUUGCUUUGUCAGUAUCUCUACCUAUUUCCUGACUCAAGCGCACAUUCAGAGACUUCUGUUUGAAACACCGUAUGAGUUUUUAUUUAAAAGGGAAACAGCAACCUUGUUCCUGACUGUGGUGCACGCAUACAGAACCUUACUUGAUUUGAAGAAGGCUUGAUUUUCUUUCUUAGAGAGUAAUGCAGGCCAGUAUGACCCCACCUGGUGAGCCCAGGAGACAGAUUUGGCUUCAGAGCACUCCUGUACAUCAGUCUGUGCAAACAGCAGCCUCUGAUCCUCUGCUCCACUAGCCUAGUCUCUUCCUUAGGUUGCCUGUGAGCAGGUAAUAAUGAUUUUACUGCUUAAGGAGAUCUUCAUAAUCUUUUUUGCAGUGAAUGUGCUUGUCUGGACAGAAGCAUUCCCAAAACAUCAUUUGAAACAGGCUGAAAUCCCAUGAGUAUUUCAGCUUGGAAUUAGUGGGUAUUCUUUCCACUGUUAAUGAGAGUGCAGUAGAAUAUACAAGACAUACAAGACACCAUUGAAUACAUUCGUAUUACAUUUCACCUUUUGUCAUGCUGGAGGCCCACGCUAAAUUAAUUUGGCAGAUAAAUUUACGAUGGCAAUUUGCCUUCCAGUUGUAUAAUUUAUUCAUGUCAGAAAUAAUUUAUUAUACUCUUCUUUAAGCCUUUCUUUUUUGGGGGUACCACCUUAGUAAAAAAAAUUUAUUGUUUACCCUGAGCUUUGUAUGGCUUCACAGUGGUCAGUCAAUAACCUCAAGGGGAUAGUUUUGGUCACAUUACUGGUCACUUAUUUGGAUGGAUGAUGGAGUGCCCUGGUCCCAUCUGUACAUAUAUUACUUUCUUUUGUCUUAGUGACACUGUUGGAGAGAUUAAUUAGGUCCAUCUGCAGGGGAAGAUCAGCCUUGGGGGAUUCAGGUGAAUAAAAUAAAUGCCAAGGGGAAAAAACUGCUGACAGGGGCGUUUUGGAAAUCAACCUGUUUUCCAUAGCAUGAAUGAGGAAAUUACAUAAAGAAGGGUCUUGAAAGAACGGUGUAACUACCAUUUAUUUGGUUACUUCAGCAUGACCUGAUACAUAUCUGCUACUGCUGCUGUAGGAAAGAAUUUAUGAUGAGGGUUGAAGUCCACAGACAAUAUUCCCAGCUAUGUAAAUCAGUAUAGCUUUCAGAUCUUAGUGGAGCUGCCCUCGCUUUAUGAUGGUACAGAUUUGAGUUAUUUCUGACAUAGUGAUAUUCUCUGCUCUUCAUUUGUGUGAUCCAAGAUGUGAAGUAAGCUAAUCAGAAUUCCUAGUCUGUCUCCUCUCUUUUUAUUCUAACUAUACUCGUUGUGGCUCUUGCACCCCAUCUCUAUUUUUGUCCUUUCUCUUGACUUCCUUUAUGCUGCUUUUCAUAUUUUUUCCUUGUCUCUUUCCUCUCCCUUAAAAAUAAUAAUAAUAACCUAAUAGCAUUGAUCUAACUGAUAUGAUCAGAGCUUAUAAAAUAGAAUCUCACCCCUUACUGACUUGAAUAUUCUUAUUAUAUGUGUAAUUAAUUCGUGUAACUGGUACAUAAGCCAUUUGAAAUUUAUUGCAAUUUAAAUUCUCUCUUUCUGUUGCCAUAUCAGUCUAAGAGAGGACUCAUAUACCACAGUGCAGUGGGAUUACAAUCCCAAUAUUUUCAUACAAUAGAAAAGAAAAAAAAAUACCCACAUGUUUUACUCACUGAAAGUUCACUGUCUUAAGGACCUGGAAUGUAAGAGUUGUUCUGCUUUUAAACUUCUGUUGGAGUGAAGUGAGGUACUUUAUGAGAUUGCAGUUCAACUCCUGCUGACUUUUUAAAUGAAUUGGUAAACGCAGAAGAACGAGGAAAUAUAUUUUUGAAACAGAAUGGGAAAACAAACUAUAUAAAAAGAAAGAGAAGAUGCAUGCAGGAAGGAUAAUGUGGAAGAAUGUAGGUGAUGAAUUCAAUUACUUCAUAUAUAUAUAUGUAUAUAUAUAUAAUAUGAAGAACUUUUGGUGGCAAGGAAAAUAUUUGCUCUGGAAAUACGUGGUCCUGCCUCCAGCCCUGCGCUAGCAGCAGUGACCCUGAGUCUCAGAGGCACAGUUCUGUGUGUGCUUGAAUUUUGGGGUCUGAUUCUAAAGAGCUGCUGAGCCCAGUCUGUAGCACUAGAAGGAAAGCUGCUCUAUGUGUAAUAAGGUGUAAACAUGUGCAUAUUGUCAGACAACACCAGUUAGACACCCAAGAAUGUACUGUAUAGGUGAGUUAGUAACUCAGUCUUUAGACAAGAUUAUAAACUAAAUAGAAACGUAUUUGAGCUGAGUAGCUCAAUGUGCUGACCAUGCAGAAAAGAGUCUUUGCCACCUGCAGGCUCUUGUUCCUUCUAGCUUUCUAAAUUGUUCCUCCACACUUUCUAAAUGAAGGGUAUUCUGAAGGUUCUCUCCUGGCCAGCAUGCAUGAGGCAGGUCAGUGGCCACAGUCCAACACCUUGAAAACUGGUCCUACCUCUUAGAAACACCUUCACAGCCAACGUCUCCGGGAAUCCUUGUUCAGAUCAGCAGUGCAGCAAAUGAAGAGUAGUAGUGGAAAUUAAGUGGUCCUUUAAAGACCAAAAUGCUCCCCUUCAAAUCUUCUGGGUCAAGUUAUCUUGCUUAGGUAGAUGUGGAUGGUUCCUACUUGGUUUUGCUUGUUAUUAUUAUAUCUCUGUCCUGCAGGUGCUGCAUUGCUUCCACUGGGUCCAUGUGCACUUAUUUGUGGGGCUCUGGAAGCAAGCCUGGAUUAUGGCAGUGUGCUUUCAGUGGUGUAACUGGCAAGCUGAAACUGAGGCACUCUGCAGGGGGUUUCAGUACUGCUUUGUGGCAAUACACAGAUUUGUUGCCGGCUCAUUGGGCUUACAGCUUUUUGUUCAUAAGAUUUGAGCCCACCUGCCAUGGAGAUAUCAUUUGUGUUUGCUUUGUGAUUUUUUUUUUUUUCCCCCCCUGGUGUUUUUAUUAUUAUUAU